rnacentral:rRNA from 1 species
AGUGAACGCUGGCGGUAGGCCUAACACAUGCAAGUCGAACGGCAGCACAGUAAGAGCUUGCUCUUACGGGUGGCGAGUGGCGGACGGGUGAGGAAUACAUCGGAAUCUACUUUUUCGUGGGGGAUAACGUAGGGAAACUUACGCUAAUACCGCAUACGACCUACGGGUGAAAGCAGGGGAUCUUCGGACCUUGCGCGAUUGAAUGAGCCGAUGUCGGAUUAGCUAGUUGGCGGGGUAAAGGCCCACCAAGGCGACGAUCCGUAGCUGGUCUGAGAGGAUGAUCAGCCACACUGGAACUGAGACACGGUCCAGACUACUACGGGAGGCAGCAGUGGGGAAUAUUGGACAAUGGGCGCAAGCCUGAUACAGCCAGACCGCGUGGGUGAAGAAGGCCUUCGGGUUGUAAAGCCCUUUUGUUGGGAAAGAAAAGCAGCAGGUUAAUACCCCGCGGUUCUGACGGUACCCAAAGAAUAAGCACCGGCUAACUUCGUG